CGAGUCUGCUGGUGCGUGUGAAAGUAACUUAGUGUUUUGUGCCCAGCAUUUAACAAAGGAAGUAGGAUGGAAGAGAAAAGAGCUGCUCGCACCGAGUAAAGGGUCUUCUGAAGCUUCGUUCAGGGGUUAGUGGCUUAUGGAGAAUCCCAAGAGAGAAGCACUUGGUGUCGAGAAAUGACCAGCAGCAUUUGUUGGGAUAACACUGAGUGUCUCUCCUGUGCCGGCUGAUCUGUUAGGUGCUGAGACUACAGGGGUCAAAAUAUUUGUUGUUGCUGUUGUUGUCACUAUUAUUAUUGUUUUCAUCUCGAAUUUAAAGUCACCAGAACACAACUCCCCCGACCUUCAGCCUGCUCCCCUCCCGUGGCUCCGACGGAAGGAGGCAGCUGACCAUUCGUAGACUCACUGCGGCUUUCCGGGGUCUGGAGCUCAGAAUCA